CAAUAGCGUAUAUUAAAGUUGUUGCAGUUAAAAAGCUCGUAGUUGGAUUUCUGGUCGGAAGCUCCUGUCCUCUGAUGAGCGUACAAGUGCGUCCUACCAUCCUUCUGUUAACCCUUAAGGCUUUCGCGGCUUUCUAGGGGCUCAGAUAUUUUACCUUGAGAAAAUUAGAGUGUUUCAGGCAGGCUAGCGCCGGAAUACAUUAGCAUGGAAUAAUGGAAUAGGACUUUUGCCUCUUCUGUUGGUCAUGAGGCUCGAGUAAUGAUUAAUAGGGAUAGUUGGGGGCAUUAGUACUUAACUGUCAGAGGUGAAAUUCUCGGAUUUGUUAAAGACUAACUUAUGCGAAAGCAUUUGCCAAGGAUGUUUUCAUUAA
rnacentral:rRNA from 1 species